CUCUGUGUGCUCUUCAUUGAUCCAAAUAUUUGUAAUCAUGCUAAUGAAAUUGGGGAAAGGAAAAGAGAUGUGAAGAUCCGUUUUGAUAGUUAUCAAUCUCACCUGCUGCUGAUGGAAUUUCACAUGUCUUGCAAAAUAAGAAAAGGAAAAGGAUGUUGUGAAAUGGGAUGAGCACAAAACUUGUUCUGAAUUUCAAGAAUAGGCUCAACCAACAUAGUGCUACAGCUUCAAAGAAUGCUUCAAAUUUGUCUGGAACAUGCUACAUCACACCCCAAACUGGGGCAUUUCUUGCCGAAGCCUAUCUAGACAACAACUUGUUUCUCAAUCAUCUUGUUACACUCAAAAUCAGAUUAGCUUUUGAAAUUAAAUGGUGUAAUUUUUUUGUUUUAUGUUGACAUUAAGAUAAUGAAUUACUAGUUUUUUUUU